rnacentral:tRNA from 1 species
GUCUACAUGGCAUAGUGGUUUGAGUGUUGGACUACAACUCUGAAGACCAGGAUUCGAUUCCCAGCUUGACCA